CCUACGGGUGGCAGCAGUGAGGAAUAUUGGUCAAUGGGCGCGAGCCUGAACCAGCCAAGUCGCGUGAAGGACGACUGCCCUACGGGUUGUAAACUUCUUUUAUAAAGGGAUAAAGUGAGGCCCGUGUGCCUUUUUGUAUGUACUUUAUGAGUAAGGAUCGGCUAACUCCGUCCCAGAAGCCGCGGUAAUACGGAGGAUCCGACCGUUAUCCGGAUUUAUUGGGUUUAAAGGGAGCGUAGAUGGGUUGUUAAGUCAGUUGUGAAAGUUUGCGGCUCAACCGUAAAAGUGCAAUUGAUACUGGCAGUCUUGAGUACGGUUGAGGUAGGCGGAAGGCGUGGUGUAGCGGUGAAAUGCAUAGAUAUCACGAAGAACUCCGAUUGCGAAGGCAGCUUACUAAUCUGCCAUUGACAUUGAUGCACGAAAGUGUGGGUAUCAAACAGGAUUAGAUACCCUAGUAGUC
rnacentral:rRNA from 1 species